CUGGAACCAUAACCACUUUACUGAGACUUUACUGUGCUCUUUAAAUUACUGUUACACACCGAAGAACCCAAGUAGAUGGGUUACCAAAAAGGAAUGAGGAAAAAAAAAAAAGAAUUUAAAAAAGGUUGCAUUCCUUGUGAAAACAUUUUUUAAAAUUCUUUAAUUACCUUAAAAUUUUGGUUAUCAAUCUAAAGGUGGUACAAU